UAAAACAACACGGAAUCGUCCUACAGCUGUUUAAGAAGAAAACUGUGAAAACGAUUGUCAACAUCCCCAAGAAGGCCCUCAUCCUUAUUGAUUCCUUUGGGAAAGAGGACUAUUAUUCAAGAAAAGUUCUCCACAGCUGGAGGAACUACCUUAAAAGGAUGGAGAGAAGGGGCUGAGGCAUGGCAGGUGGAGACUGUACACCACAAUAAACAGCAGGAUGCCAGUAGCUGCAGAGUUUUGGUUAUGAAGGUAUUAAAUCAUCAUUUGGAUAGCUGACUAGAUAGAUUAUUACCAAAUUAAUGUCCUCUUCUUCCAACUUGGUGACUAUGUGAA